rnacentral:lncRNA from 1 species
UAUAUAUUUAUAUAUGUAAUAUACAUAAACAUCUGUAUACACAGGCAUAUAUAGUGUUAUUGUAAAGCCUGGAUAUUGAUGUAGUGUAAUCUGUUUUCGGAAAAGGAAAAUCCAUUUUCUUUUAUUUUUCCAUUAAUUUUCACUGUUUCUGCCAUUUGCUCCCAGCAUCCAUCUAUCCCUCCGUUCAUCCAUCCGUUUUCUCUUAUUGGGAACGAUAUUUCCUACCACCACUGCCACUAGCGCCACUGCCGCUACUGCCACUAACUACUAUUACUGCCACCACCACUGCUACUGCCACCUCUACAACUUCCUCCAUCUUUUGUCCCAUCAGCAAACCCUCGAUUCCACACCGCAACCACCACCAUCACUAACACCACCAUCACAACCACCACCAUCACUACCAUCACUACCACAACCAUCACAACCACCACAACCACCACCAUCACUAACACCACCAUCACAACCACCACCAUCACUACCAUCACUACCACAACCAUCACAACCACCACAACCACCACCAUCACUAACACCACCAUCACAACCACCACCAUCACUACCAUCACUACCACAACCACCACAACCACCACCAUCACUAACACCACCAUCACAACCACCACCAUCACUACCAUCACUACCACAACCAUCACAACCACCACAACCACCACCAUCACUAACACCACCAUCACUAACACCACUACCACCACCAUCACUAACACCACCACCACCACCAUUACAACCACCACCACCAUCAAUACCACUACCACCACCAUCACUAACACCACCACCAUCACCAUCACCAUCACAACCACCACCACUAACACCACCACCACCACCAUCACCGUGGUCCUGUUUCUCAUCCCACCGCUCCAUCCUUUCCUGGAAUUGACUGCCACCGAAGUCUCACAAUCUAACAUCCUAUCACAGCCAAUUUAAACUCUGACCUCCCAUCAUCGUCAUCAUCAUCAUCAUCAUCAUCAUCGUCAUCAUCUGCAGCAGCACCAUUGUAGCCUACUGCAUUCAUAAUUCUUGCCAUCACCAAUUGUGUUAAGAGACACUGGCAGACCUGUUGCUUGCUGUACACACAAACAACAGUGCACACUGUUGGUUUCUUGGUCUUGUCUUGGGGCAUUUCUUUUCUGUGCUUUGCUGCUACUUUUCUCUUUUCUUUCUAAUCUGACACACUAUCUGCCUGUGUCUUUCUUUGUCUAUCUGUCUAUCUGACUAUCUGUCUAUCUGAUUGUCUGUCUAUCUGACUAUCCAAUUGUCUGUCUAUCUAUUAGUCUAUCUGACUGUCUGCCUAUCUGAUUGCCUGUCUAUCUAUCAGUCUAUACAACUGUCUGUCUGUCUAUCUGACUAUCCAAUUGCUUGUCUAUCUAUCAGUCUAUCUGACUGUCCAAUUGCCUGUCUAUCAGUCUAUCUGACUGUCUGUCUAUCUGAUUGUCUGUCUAUCUAUCAGUCUAUACAACUGUCUGUCUGUCUAUCUGACUAUCCAAUUGCUUGUCUAUCUAUCAGUCUAUCUGACUGUCCAAUUGCCUGUCUAUCAGUCUAUCUGACUGUCUGUCUAUCUGAUUGUCUGUCUAUCUGACUAUCAAAUUGCCUGUCUAUCUAUCAGUCUAUCUGACUAUCUGUCUGUCUAUCUACCUAUCUGUCUGUCUGUCUAUCUAUCUAUCUAUCUAUCACUCUGCUUCUAUAAUCUUCACUCUUUAUCUCUCUCUUUAUAUUUCUCUCUUGCUCUCUCUCUCUCUCUCUCUCUCUCUCUCACUCAUCAUCUUGCUUUCUUUUGUUGUGUCCCUAUCUCUCUUUGUUUCUCUUUUCCUCUCUCUUACUCUCUAUCUGUCUGUUUGUCUCUCUCCCUCUCUGCUUGUCUGACUUUUGCAGAUUCUGUUUUUCUGUCUAUCUCUCUCCCUCUCUCCUUUAGUUCUGUCUCAGUAAAAGAGCCUUUGGUAAAAUUAAGAGAAAAAAAAAACAUCUUCAUAUCUUAGGCCCCCCACCAAUAACAUCAGCAUCAACGUCAUUACAAACUCCAAAUUCUUUUCCUAAUGAUUAUGAAAAGAUAUUUAAUUUUGCUUCUUAUUUCAUAAAAUCAUUUGUUGACAAACAAUUUGACAGAAAUAAUUUUAUUGUCAAAAAUACUUUAUUGACAGAAAUAUUUUGUUGACAAACAUAACUGGGACGGAAUAAUUUGUUGAUGAAAAUAAUUUGGCAAAAAUAACCUUGUUGACAAAAUUAAUUUGAUGUAAAUAUUUUGUUGACAAAGAUAAUUUGACGAAAAAAUUAUCUGCUGACGGCCAUAAUUUGACAACAAUUUGACAAAAACAAUUUAUUGACAAAACAUCUUUUGAGAUUUUUUUUCCUUUCCGUCAUGGUAUUUUAAAGAUAUUUUAAAGAAAUUUAUGAAAAGAAAUAUAUUUUGAUAUAUUUUCAUUAUUUCUUUCAUUAAAUAACAGUAAUUAAUUAAUUCAUUCAUUCAUUCUGACUGUUUGUCUUUCAUUCAUUCAGUCAUUAAUUUAUUCUGUGAUUCUGUGAAUUUCCUUCAUUAUUGUCCUCAUUCAUUAUCAGAAUCAUCUUACUUCUUCGUUAUCAGAAAUCUUCUUGCAAAUAGCCCUCCCUCCCUUCUUUCUCCUCUUCUUUCUCAUUAUUAUUAUUAUUAUUAUUAUUAUUUGUUGCGUGACUAUUGGCAUUGAUUUACUCAACAAUACACACCCAGCACGUCCGAAAAAUUUUACAUUAGAAAAUAUCAUCAUCAUCAUCAUCAUUAUUAUUAUUAUUAUUAUUAUUUGUCUCUUCACCUCUUGUUCUUCCUUGUUGUCGUCUUCACAUUACACCAUAUCAUUCUUCUCGUUGUCACGGUAAUGACAACGUCAAUACUGGCGAUGAAGAGGGCGGCGCCACGUGUUUCUUCUUGCUACACUGCAAUGGAUCACAACAGUUUGAAAUCUCGUAGCAACAGCAUCCUCGUCACUAGUAGUAGUCUCGUUAUCUCUCGCCUCUACCCACUCCUUCUGCUCCUCUCCUACUUCUCCUCUUCGUCCUUCUCCACUUCCUCAUCUACUUCCUCUUUCGCCAGUCUUAGUACAAGUUCAUUCAGGUCACAUCUUAACCCCCUCUUCCUUCGUCUCCCUUGACCGACCGAACGAUUUUAACUUAUUCCGCAUCAUCACACUUAUUUCUAUUGUCUCUUACCUACAAGAAAUUUUUUUUUAACCCUUUCAUUACUGCAUUUAUUUUGAGAUGCUCUGUAUUUCUUUCAACUAAUUUUAAAUAUAACAAAGAAUUUAGUAAAAUAACUCAGUUAUCAUUAAACUAGUGUUAGGAACAUUAAUUGUGACUAAGGUUUGGUGGAAGAUUUUAAUUCAGAACUUUUGAAAACAAGACAUUUGUACUACAGAGCCAGAGGCAGUUUCAGCCAGGUUGGUAUCAAAAGGGUUAAGAAUUGAUUCUCUAUUAUAUAUUUUAACCCUUUUGUUACUAUAUUUCUGUUGAGAUGUUCUGUGUUUCUUUCAAUUAAUUUUAAAUAUAACAAAGAAUUUAGUAAAUAAAUUCAGUUAUCAUUAAACUAGUGUUAGGAACAUAAAUUGUGACUAAGGUUUGGUGGAAGAUUGUAAUUCAGAACUUAUGAAAAUAAAUUUGUACUCAGAGCCAGAGCCGGUUUCAGCCGGGUUGGUAUCAAAAGGGUUAAUUUGAUCUCUCAAUAAAUUUUGACAUAAAUCAGCUUCACUAGAAGCUGUAGAGAAGCAACAGAGAGAUAGAACGACAGUGGUUUGGCUAGCUGAGAGCUAAAUACAAGCAACUGGGUUUCAGUCCUUCUUGCCACCUUGUUAGAUAAAUUGCUGAGGUUUUACUUCAUGCUGCUUGCUAAAUAAAUAUCUUUUUCUGGUGGGAAGUUUGCAUACCACAACAUCACAUGUUGCUGGCCAUCUUUUCUCCUAUAUAACAUAUAUAUAUAUAUGUUUUUAUGCCAAGUUAUAUAUCAAAACAAUUUAAUGUUAAACUGAAGAAUUAAUAUUUUAUAAUAACAUACAUGAUUCAUUAAACGUCUUUUACAAGAUUGUUCACAGUGACUUUGAAGUGUUGUCGUGCUGGCCUGUACAUUUACAAUUUGUAUCAUAUGCUGCCCGCAUUCUGACAAAUCUAUGUCAUAAAUUACUACUUGACAGUGACUUCGAAGUUAUGACCUGCUAGCCUUCACAUUUACACACAUAUACACACACAUAUAUAUAUCUAUCAUUUGCUGCCCGCAUUCUGAUAAAUCUUUGUCAAAAAUUAUUACUUAAUAUUAUUACCAUUUGUAUUUGGAAAAGUUUGAACACUAUUACAUCAUACGCACUUUUCUCUCUCUCUCUCUUUAUCUAUCUAUCUCUAUAAACAUAUAUAUAUAUACACAUAAACAUACAUAUAUAUAUAUACAUACAUACAUAUAUAUAUAUAUCUUUGCAGCUUGGUAUCUUAAAUAAUACUACCUCGCUACAAUUACUAUUUCUCUUAUUAUUAUCAUUUUACAGUCAGGGAAAGUGUUGAAAGCCACUACAUCACUCCUCCCUCCUUUAUAUACACAUACACAUAUAUAUAUAUAUAUAUAUAUAUUUCUUGUUCGCUCCCUUUUAAACAACUCACUAUUAUCACUACUACUAUUAUUAUCAUUUAUAUUAUUCUUAGUAUUAUUAUUGUUGUGUUAUUAUUAUUAUUAUUAUCAUUACUCUACUAUCUUUAUUAUAAUUAUUUCUCUUCUCCUGCCGAGUAGAACGACACCGCAACUGCCACAACCCUUGAUAGUUUCCGUUGAGGACACGGUUUCAAUCCCUGGUCAAAUAUUGGUUUACGUUUCAUAUUUACUUUCACUUUCAAAUUGAUUUGACCUGCACUUCUCUCGCACUCCACUCUCAGUCAAGUCUUUCUUCACUUGGUUUUCUAUUUCUCACUCUAUUCUCUCUCUGGUCUUCACUAAGUUUUCACUCUCACUCUACUCUCUCUUUCUCUUCUCUCCCAUCAUUCCCUCUCGACUUUCACUUCUCACACUCCACUUCCACUCCAGUCUUACUUCACUCAGUUUUUACUUCUCUCUCACUCUACACUGACUUUCACUUCUCACUCUUCACUUAUACUCCAGCCUUACUUCACUCAGACUUUCGUCUCUGAGAAUCUACUCUCCCUCCACUUCACUUUUACUCCACUCUACUUUUACUUCACUCUACCUUCACUUCUCUCUCUCUCUCUCACUCUAUUCUCACCUUCCCUACACUCGACUCUCACUCCACUCGAUUCUCACUCCACUCUAACUCCACUCAACUCUCACUCAACUUGACUCUAACUCAACUCGACUCUCAUUCUACUCAAAUCUCACUCCACUCGACCCUCACUCCAUCUUGCUCUCACUCUGCUAAUACACAAGGGGAAAGGCAUGAACAUCAUGACAUCACCACCUUGUGACUAAGUCAUUUAAUUUGUCUUUGCUUUAAUUAGAUUUUUCACUUGUUUUUUUGUAUAUUUGUUUAUAUUAAUCCACCACCACUACCACCACCACUGUCACCACCACCUACCACCACCACCACCACUAUCAAUAAUAUCAACAAAAACACCAUCUGCAUCAUCACUUUACCAUUACCAUCAUCAUUAUCAACAUCAGCAUUACCACCACCACCAUCAUUACCACCACCACCAUCAUCACAACAGCAUCAUCAAUAUUGCUAUCGCUGACCAACACUACAUUAUUGUCAUCAUCAACACCACUGCCAUUGGCAACACCAUCACACUGCCACCAUCAUAAGCAUCAUUAAUAUUAACAAAGACCACCACUGUCAUCGGCAUCAUCACAUCACUACCACCACCACCACAACAACACCACCACCACCAAAAACAUCGUUGUUGUUGUCGUCAUCAUUACCGUCAGCACAUUAAUCGCUACUAUCACCAACAACUAAGUCGCCAAUAUCAACAACAAACACCACCGCCAACACCUUCACCACCAGCACCAACACCACAGCCACUACCACCAGCACCAACACCACAGCCACUACCACCAGCACCAACACCACAGCCACCACCACCACCACUCUGACAGCAGACUGCUUACCCCAUCAGACUCAUCUAGUCACUAUCAAUCUGUCCCGGGUGGAGUAAAGAAAAACAACACACACACACACACACACACACACACACACACACACACACACACACACACACACACACGUAUAAAACAUAAAACAAAAACAAACAUACAGACACAGUGACUACAUUUACGGGUGUAAGCUGUCUGCCUGCUUUGUUUACACAAGAUAAUCUGGGUAAGGUGUGCAGCAAGGUGCUGUGCUAUGUCGCGUCUUCUUGUCGUUUAAUUUGGCAAAGAGGUUCCACUGUUGAAAAAGAGAGAACCCACCUGAUACUGCCAAGCGCCAGCAGCGCACUCAUGCUUUUCUCUGAUCUGAGUAUCACUUGCUUUGUUCGUUUAUCUCUUUAAUCUUAUCGCGGGGGAGGGAAAGGCAUGACUAUCCCAACAGAUCAAAUUCUGACGCCUUGUAGAUUGUAGAACACGGUUUAUACCAGUGAGACACACCAAAUCUUUAUUUUCUUUUUCCUUUUUCCUCUUUCUCCUUUUUUUUGCUGUCUCUUAUCUAUCAAUAAAGAGUUUGGCUGAGUUUCUACAACAUCAUAUCGUCGUCGUAUUGUACUCUAUCUUUCACUCAUACUCAACUACACUUCAGCCUCUAUUCACACUCCACUUCUACUCUCGCCUUUAAUCAGUGAUGAGAUUUUUGCUUUGAAACAAAUCUAUCUCUCUCUC